rnacentral:rRNA from 1 species
UACGUAGGUGUCGAGCGUUGUCCGGAUUUAUUGGGCGUAAAGAGCUCGUAGGCGGUUUGUCGCGUCUGCUGUGAAAACUGGGGGCUCAACCCCCAGCCUGCAGUGGGUACGGGCAGACUAGAGUGCGGUAGGGGAGAUUGGAAUUCCUGGUGUAGCGGUGGAAUGCGCAGAUAUCAGGAGGAACACCGAUGGCGAAGGCAGAUCUCUGGGCCGUAACUGACGCUGAGGAGCGAAAGCAUGGGGAGCGAACAGG